rnacentral:rRNA from 1 species
GAUGAACGCUGGCGGCGUGCCUAAUACAUGCAAGUCGAGCGAACAGACGAGGAGCUUGCUCCUCUGACGUUAGCGGCGGACGGGUGAGUAACACGUGGAUAACCUACCUAUAAGACUGGGAUAACUUCGGGAAACCGGAGCUAAUACCGGAUAAUAUAUUGAACCGCAUGGUUCAAUAGUGAAAGACGGUUUUGCUGUCGCUUAUAGAUGGAUCCGCGCCGCAUUAGCUAGUUGGUCAGGUAACGGCUUACCAAGGCAACGAUGCGUAGCCGACCUGAGAGGGUGAGCGACCACACUGGAACUGAGACACGGUCCAGACUCCUACGGGAGGCAGCAGUAGGGAAUCUUCCGCAAUGGGCGAAAGCCUGACGGAGCAACGACGCGUGAGUGAUGAAGGUAUUCGGAUAGUAAAACUCUGUUAUUAGGGAAGAACAAAUGUGUAAGUAACUAUGCACGUCUUAACGGUACCUAAUCAGAAAGCCACGGAUAACUACGUG